CUAGCAUGUGCGCGAGUCAUUGGGACUCUGUUAAACCUAAAGGCGCAAUGAAAGUAAAGGUCCGCCUCGCGCGGACCGAGGGAGGAUGGGUCCGUUCCCCGGACGGNNGCCCCGCACUCCCGGGGCGUCUCGUUCUCAUCGCGAGRAGAGGCGCACCCAGAGCGUACACGCUGGGACCCGAAAGAUGGUGAACUAUGCCUGGUCAGGACGAAGUCAGGGGAAACCCUGAUGGAGGUCCGUAGCGAUUCUGACGUGCAAAUCGAUCGUCGGAACUGGGUAUAGG
rnacentral:rRNA from 1 species